GGAAACGAUAGCUAAUACCGCAUAACAAUGGGUGACACAUGUCAUUUAUUUGAAAGGGGCAAUUGCUCCACUACAAGAUGGACCUGCGUUGUAUUAGCUAGUAGGUGAGGUAACGGCUCACCUAGGCGACGAUACAUAGCCGACCUGAGAGGGUGAUCGGCCACACUGGGACUGAGACACGGCCCAGACUCCUACGGGAGGCAGCAGUAGGGAAUCUUCGGCAAUGGACGGAAGUCUGACCGAGCAACGCCGCGUGAGUGAAGAAGGUUUUCGGAUCGUAAAGCUCUGUUGUAAGAGAAGAACGAGUGUGAGAGUGGAAAGUUCACACUGUGACGGUAUCUUACCAGAAAGGGACGGCUAACUACGUGCCAGCAGCCGCGGUAAUACGUAGGUCCCGAGCGUUGUCCGGAUUUAUUGGGCGUAAAGCGAGCGCAGGCGGUUAGAUAAGUCUGAAGUUAAAGGCUGUGGCUUAACCAUAGUACGCUUUGGAAACUGUUUAACUUGAGUGCAAGAGGGGAGAGUGGAAUUCCAUGUGUAGCGGUGAAAUGCGUAGAUAUAUGGAGGAACACCGGUGGCGAAAGCGGCUCUCUG
rnacentral:rRNA from 1 species